rnacentral:pre_miRNA from 1 species
UUCAUACUCUCUCCGUCUAACAAAAGAUGUCUUAAGUUUCUUAAAAUUUGAAGUAUCUAAAUAUGACUUAAUGUAUAGAUGCAUUCAAAUUUAGUCAAAGUUGAGACAUCUUUUGUUGAACGGAGGAAGAAACAA